UACGUAGGGGGCAAGCGUUGUCCGGAAUCAUUGGGCGUAAAGAGCGUGUAGGCGGCCAGAUAAGUCCGCUGUGAAAACUCGAGGCUCAACUUCGAGCUGUCGGCGGAAACUAUCUGGCUAGAGUCCGGAAGAGGAGAGUGGAAUUCCUGGUGUAGCGGUGAAAUGCGCAGAUAUCAGGAAGAACACGCGUGGCGAAGGCGGCUCUCUGGGACGGUACUGACGCUGAGACGCGAAAGCGUGGGGAGCGAACAGG
rnacentral:rRNA from 1 species